rnacentral:rRNA from 1 species
AGAGUUUGAUCAUGGCUCAGAAUCAACGCUGGCGGCGCGCCUAACACAUGCAAGUCGCACGAGAAAGCGGGAGCAAUCUCGCAAGUACAGUGGCGUACGGGUGAGUAACACGUGGAUUAUCUGCCCUGGAGUGGGGAAUAACGCUGGGAAACCGGCGCUAAUACCGCAUAUUCCCGAGAGGGGAAAGCAGCAAUGCGCUCGAGGAGGAGUCCGCGGCCGAUUAGCUAGUUGGCAGGGUAAAAGCCUACCAAGGCUAUGAUCGGUAGCCGGCCUGAGAGGGCACACGGCCACACUGGCACUGAAACACGGGCCAGACUCCUACGGGAGGCAGCAGUGGGGAAUCUUGCACAAUGGGGGAAACCCUGAUGCAGCGACGCCGCGUGAGCGAUGAAGCCCUUCGGGGUGUAAAGCUCUUUCGGCAGGGAAGAUUAUGACGGUACCUGCAGAAGCAGCUGCGGCUAACUACGUGCCAGCAGCCGCGGUAAUACGUAGGCAGCAAGCGUUGUUCGGAGUUACUGGGCGUAAAGGGUGUGUAGGCGGCCUGUUAAGUUCCGUGUGAAAUCUCCCGGCUCAACCGGGAGGGUGCGCGGAAAACUGGGGGGCUAGAGUACGGGAUGGGAGAGUAGAAUUCCUGGUGUAGCGGUGAAAUGCGUAGAUAUCAGGAGGAAUACCGGUGGUGUAGACGGCUCUCUGGACCGUAACUGACGCUGAGACACGAAAGCGUGGGUAGCAAACAGGAUUAGAUACCCUCGUAGUCC